GUCUGCAUGUCUUUGUGUCUGCAUAUGUGUCUGUGUUUGUAUCUGUGUGAGUGUCAUUCUGUAUGAAUGUGUAGCUGCAUGUGUGUCUCUGUAUCUGUAUAUGUGUCAGUGUCUGUAUCUGUGUGUUUCUGCAUGUGGGUCCAUGUAUGUAUCUGUAUGUUAUUGUGUGUAUCUGAAUGUAUGUCAGUUUCUGUUCAUCUGCAUGUUUGUCAGUAAGUGUAUCUGUGCAUCGGUGUAUGAAGGUGUGUCAGUGUGUAUCUGCAUGUGUGUCUGUGUAUGCACUUGUGUGUCUGUGUAUCUCUCUAUGUAUGCCUGUACGUGUGUAUGUGUGCAUAUCUAUGUAUGUCAGUGUUUGCAUCUGUAUGUGUCUCAGUGUGUGUAUUUUGUCUCAGUAAGAAAUGAGAGGGCUAAGUGUGUGUGUGGUUUUUUUUGGUGUGUGUGGGCGUUGAUGGCGUGAUGGCAUGCUAGGAAGGGGAAGGGCUAGGUCAAGGGGCCCAAAUCAAAUACCUGCCCAGGGUCCAAUCAGUAUUAAAGACGGCCCUGCAUGUAUGGCUGCCUGGAUGUACCCGUCCAGGGUCCAUACCUCUGUGAUGGUUGUGUGCGAGUGGCUUCUCUGGAAGCUCAGAUUGGAGAUCUCGA